rnacentral:lncRNA from 1 species
CUCAUUCCUUUUGGUUACCAUGGCAAUUUUCUCUCUCUCUUCCCUCAUUUUCUCUCAUUUUCUCUCACUUUCUCUCUGUCCCUACCAUUUGGACGAAUUUCCCUCACUUUGGAUCUCAAUCUCACCUUUCCUCUUCCUCUUGAGCUUGGUAGAUCCACCCCUUGUCCAUUUACAUCUCAUUUACAAGACAUUCCCUUCAUUUUUUCCCAUAUUUCCCUCACCGACAACCAACCACCACCCAUCGCCGUUAAACUGCUCUCCGCACAGCCAUUCCCAUCGCUGAGUUGGAGUUUUGGAGACGAGGAGGCUGCUGUCCAGCCUUGGCGCAGCUCUCUCUCCCUCCAUUCUUUCACGGUUUGGUCCCUCGUGGAGCCCAGAGGCCGUCCGCCACCAAGCCGGGGCCGUGCUAUCACCUUAGCUGCCGUCCGGCCCUCCCACGUGUGCCGUGGAGGUGAGACCAGCCGCUGUUCAGCUUUGCUGCUUCUCCC